AAACCUUAAUGUAUACAUAAUAUCUUUUACUUGAAAUUGUUAGAUGUUUGUAUGUUAUUCCUGUCAUGUGUGGAAAUUAUUUUUCAACAAGAUAGAAGUAAGUGUGAAGAAAUUAUAAUUUGAUGGAGAAUAAAAUAUAAUCGCGUUUGUUCUGUCUUCCACCCUAUUCCCUCCACAUCUCCAUUAAUGUCUUUUCUUUAGUUGGUAGGAUGACACUAACUUUAUUUUUUGUUUUUUUGUAAUAAUACUGUGAAAGACGACAGAGGCUGCAUUUGGAUUUGAAUAUAAAAGACACUCUUGUGUUGUUCGUCCAGCUAAUAAUAGUAUUUUUCUUUUAGAGAGAAAAAAAAAGAAGAGUUUAUGCAGGUAUGACUUUGCAACCCUUCGCACCCUUUGCCUUGGCUGCCACAAGACUUUGGGAGAGAGCUACUCUACUCCCACUCUGUGAUCAAAGAUGGCCGUUGUUCUUGAUGCCUUCAUCUCCGGGCUGGUCGGUACGUUGAAGGACAUGGCUAAAGAGGAGGUGGACUUGCUGUUGGGCGUCCCUGGGGAGAUCCAAAAGCUCCAACGAUCUCUCCGCAACAUCCACUCUGUCCUUCGUGACGCGGAGAAGCGGCGGAUCGAGGACGAGGAGGUCAACGAUUGGCUGAUGGAGCUCAAGGAUGUCAUGUACGACGCCGACAACCUCCUCGACGAGUGCCGGAUGGAGGCCGAGAAGUGGACUCCUCGUGAGUCCGAUCCGAAGCCGUCCACCUCGUGCGGAUUUCCCAUCUGUGCUUGCUUUCGCGAGGUCAAGUUCAGACAUGCGGUGGGCGUCAAAAUCAAGGAUCUCAACGGUCGGCUGGAAGAGAUCUCGGCCCGAAGGUCCAAGCUGCAACUCCAUGUGUCUGCGGCGGAACCAAGGGUGGUUCCUCGAGUUAGUCGCAUAACUUCCCCGGUGAUGGAGUCUGACAUGGUUGGCGAGCGACUGGAGGAGGACGCCGAGGCACUGGUGGAGCAGCUGACAAAGCAAGAUCCGAGUAAGAACGUGGUGGUGCUGGCAACUGUGGGGAUCGGCGGCAUCGGAAAGACCACCCUCGCUCAGAAGGUGUUCAAUGAUGGUAAAAUCAAAGCCAGCUUCCGCACCACCAUCUGGGUGUGCGUGUCCCAAGAGUUCAGCGAGACGGAUCUUCUCAGAAAUAUCGUUAAAGGUGCUGGUGGAAGCCAUGGUGGAGAACAGAGCAGGAGUCUGCUGGAGCCCUUGGUGGAGGGUCUCCUGAGAGGGAACAAGUUCUUGCUGGUGUUGGAUGAUGUUUGGGAUGCUCAGAUCUGGGACGACUUGCUCCGCAAUCCUUUGCAGGGAGGCGCAGCAGGGAGCAGGGUGCUGGUGACCACCAGAAACGCAGGGAUCGCGAGGCAAAUGAAGGCGGCCUACGUCCACGAGAUGAAGCUGCUGCCUCCGGAGGAUGGCUGGUCCCUCCUGUGCAAGAAGGCGACAAUGAAUGCAGAGGAGGAAAGGGAUGCCCAAGAUCUCAAGGACACAGGCAUGAAGAUUGUUGAGAAAUGCGGAGGGCUUCCCCUGGCUAUCAAGACCAUCGGAGGGGUCCUCCGCGACAGAGGACUCAACAGAAGUGCGUGGGAGGAAGUUCUCCGCAGCGCCGCAUGGUCACGGACCGGGCUUCCCGAAGGUGUGCAUGGAGCACUGUAUCUGAGCUACCAAGACUUGCCGUCCCAUCUCAAGCAAUGCUUUCUCUACUGUGUCUUGUUCCCCGAAGACUAUGAGUAUCGCUGGUCAGGCAUCGUCAGAUUAUGGAUAGCCGAGGGGUUUGUCGAAGCACGAGGAGAUGUCAGCUUGGAGGAAACAGGGGAGCAAUAUUACAGAGAUCUGCUUCAUAGGAGCCUUCUACAAUCGCAACCUUCCGAUCUGGACUACGAUGAGUAUUCCAAGAUGCAUGACCUGCUGCGAUCGCUCGGCCAUUUCCUAACGAUAGAUGAGAGCUUGUUCAUUAGUGACGUGCAAAAUGAGUGGAGAAGUGGUGCCGCCCCGAUGAAGCUGCGUCGGUUGUCGAUUGUGGCCACUGAAACCACGGACAUCCAGCAUAUCGUGAGUUUGACCAAGCAACAUGAGUCGGUGAGGACAUUGUUGGUGGAGGGAACACGUAACAAUGUGGAGGAUAUAGAUGAUUGCUUGAAGAACCUCGUGCGACUUAGAGUCCUGCAUCUUAUGCACACAAAAAUCGAGAUUCUACCGCACUACAUCGGAAAUUUGAUACACUUGAGAUACUUGAAUGUGCGUCAUAGCCAUAUAACGGAGCUUCCAGAAAGCAUAUGCAAUCUGACGAAUUUGCAGUUUUUGGUCCUCAGAGAUUGUGGACAGUUGACACAGAUUCCCCUGGGUAUAGACAGGCUAUUCAAUCUAAGGUCACUCGAUUGUAGUGGUACACGACUGGAGAGCUUUCCAUAUGGAAUAAAAAGGUUGAAGCACCUCAAUGAACUCCAAGGAUUCGUCGUGAACACGGGUAAUGGUAUGUGCCCAUUGGAAGUACUAGGCGGCCUCCAGGAGCUCAGAUACCUCUCCGUGGAUAGGUUGGAGAUGACGUACAUGGAAGCUGAACCGAGAAGGGAUACAAGCGGAUUAAAGGGUAACCGAAAACUGAAGAAACUACUUUUAAGUUGCUCAUCCACAUCGACAUCCGAUGGUCACACGGAGGAACAGAUCGAAAGAAUCGCGAAGGUGUUGGAUGUGGCACUUCAUCCACCAUCAUCUGUUGUUUGGCUCAGGUUAGAGAAUUUCUUCGGCCUCCGGUACCCCAGCUGGAUGGCGUCUGCAAGCAUCAGUUCGCUUCUUCCAAACAUAAGCCGCUUGGAACUAAUUCACUGCGAUCAGUGGCCACUACUUCCACCGCUAGGAAAGCUCCCCAGUUUGGAGUUUCUUCACAUAGUAGGUGCACGUGCAGUGACCACCAUCGGACCGGAAUUUUUUGGGUGUGAAGCUGCUGCUACUGGUCAUGAACGGGAACGGAAUUCAAAGCGCCCUUCUUCUUCUUCUACUUCUCCUCCUUCGUUGUUUCCGAAACUAAGGAAGCUGGAACUCUGGAAUAUGACUAACUUGGAAGUGUGGGAUUGGGUAGCGGAAGGUUUUGCUAUGCGUCGCCUCGACAAAUUGUUCCUCGUAAAUUGCCCGAAGUUGAAGUCUCUACCGGAAGGCCUGAUCCGACAGGCAACCUGCUUAACCACAUUGGAUCUGACCAAUGUGUGUGCUCUCAAGUCCAUCAGAGGUUUCCCUUCUCUAAAAGAACUGAGUAUAAUUGGUAAAUCAGAUCUGGAGAUUGUUACUGAUCUCACUGCACUGGAGCUCUUGAAGUUGGGCAGGUUUUUGCUUCCAUGCAAUCAUUUACCAGAGUGGUUGGCGGAUUGCCUUGCAUGUUUCACUACACUACAGAGACUGGACGUACGCGGAACCACCCAACUCCUCCGCAGAUGCCUCCAAAAUGGCGCAGACUGGCCCACGAUCGAACGCUUUCCAAUUUUUUCCAUCAGAGAUUUCCGAGGCAAUUAUAUAAACUACAUCAAGCAUUCCUGCACCUUCGAGACAAACCUAGUCGAUGAUAAUGCUGCUUUUGCUGCAGCUGCUGAAGACGAAGAAGUAAAAAGACAUCAAUGAGCUUUGAGGUAACUUACCUUUCAUGCUCAUGUCUCGACCAUCUAACGUCUUCUGGUUUUGGAGUGGCAACUCACAAUCAUCUUUUCCUGCUUAUGGCACGGAGAUCGACAUCAAUCACGAUGUAAUUGGCAGUCAUGUCUAAUAUGAUCAUUGCAAAUGGAGCUGACCAUGGAAAGUCCGAGACGUUUGAGCGGAAAUGCAGAUCGAGAGCAGGUGGUUAAAGCUUAACUUUGAAUGUUUGACAAGCUGUCACUUAGCAAUGAGCCUUUGAAAAGCUUCGCUCAAAGGAAUAGACCUCUUCAUGGAUCCAUAGCAAGUGUUCACCUAUCUAGUAUCUGUAAAUGUUUGUCAGAAGCCAUGGCUGAGUUCACAGCAAGGUUUCCCUGAAUCAAGACAAGACACAGAGGCCUGUGUUGGUCUGCUACAAAGAUAGAUACAGCUUGUGAAGUGUGGGCUUUUCUUGGUGACAAACUAGGCAUUUGGACCAACCAUGUGAUGACGACAAUGCUUGCUUGGCAUUUUGCAGGCAUUUCAUUGCCAGUUGCUGUAGGCGGAUCACACACUGUGCUACAUGAACAGAGAUCAGCAAAAGAAAAGAAAGCAGUGUGAAGUAGCUUGUUGCUGUAGAUGGGAUCACAUAUUGUGCUGCAAGAACAGAGAUGAGGGAAAGAAAAAAAUCCAUAUCAGAAAACAGUGAAGUGCUCAGGCCUAUGAUCACUGCAAUCUCUGCAGAUUGCUGAACAUUUGGGCCAUUCAAAGAAGAAAAAGAAAAGAGCCCUUUUUUUCUUCCAUGAUGUAAAGUGAGUUAUCGACAGUAAAAGAAUGCAGGAAAAGUGAAGUAUCAGAACUUUUGUGGGUGGUUGAUCCAUGAAUGCAAAUUGCAACACCUCUUGGGUUCAGAAUUCAGAUUACAUGAGAAAAGUAAUGGCUAAAUCAUUGGUACCAUGAAAUGAUCUUGGAUCCAGAGAGUUGGUGAAGAUAUUUGGAGGAACAUAAAAAGUCCAAAAAUCAAUUUUUUUUAUUGUAGAUAGUAGAGACAAAGAAUUUGUUUGUGUCAUCAUCUAUAUUUGUUCUAUUCUUUUCCUUCGUUUGAUUUGCUUUUCAACAAUGACAAACCCAAAUAUUCCAA